AUCGCUUCUCCGCCUUUGGCUAAGAUCAAGUGUAGUAUCUGUUCUUAUCAGUUUAAUAUCUGAUACGUCCCCCAUCCGGGGACUACAUAUUAAAUGGAUUUUUAGAUCACGAGCUGGAGCCGGGGCUUGCUCCGUCCACUCCAUGCAUCGCCUGGUAUUGCAGUGUCUCAGGAACGGUGGUGCUUUC
rnacentral:snRNA from 1 species